rnacentral:rRNA from 1 species
UACAGAGGGUGCAAACGUUGCUCGGAAUCAUUGGGCGUAAAGCGCACGUAGGCGGCCUAGCAAGUAGGGAGUGAAAGCCCUCGGCUUAACCGAGGAAGUGCUUUCUAAACUACUAGGCUUGAAUACUGGAGAGGGUCGCGGAAUUCCCGGUGUAGAGGUGAAAUUCGUAGAUAUCGGGAGGAACACCAGUGGCGAAGGCGGCUCACUGGCCCGGUACUGACGCUGAGGUGCGAAAGCGUGGGGAGCAAACAGG